rnacentral:rRNA from 1 species
AUUGAACGCUGGCGGCAGGCUUAACACAUGCAAGUCGAGCGGAGUGAUGGUGCUUGCACUAUCACUUAGCGGCGGACGGGUGAGUAGUGCUUAGGAAUCUGCCUAUUAGUGGGGGACAACGUCUCGAAAGGGAUGCUAAUACCGCAUACGUCCUACGGGAGAAAGCAGGGGAUCACUUGUGACCUUGCGCUAAUAGAUGAGCCUAAGUCGGAUUAGCUAGUUGGUGGGGUAAAGGCCUACCAAGGCGACGAUCUGUAGCGGGUCUGAGAGGAUGAUCCGCCACACUGGGACUGAGACACGGCCCAGACUCCUACGGGAGGCAGCAGUGGGGAAUAUUGGACAAUGGGGGGAACCCUGAUCCAGCCAUGCCGCGUGUGUGAAGAAGGCCUUAUGGUUGUAAAGCACUUUAAGCGAGGAGGAGGCUCUUUUGGUUAAUACCCAAGAUGAGUGGACGUUACUCGCAGAAUAAGCACCGGCUAACUCUGUGCCAGCAGCCGCCGUAA